CGUGCGAAAGCCAUCCUGAGAUCUUCUAAUUGUUGACUUAGCCCCUAGUAGCUCUCUCUUAUUUUGCCAUUGUCUUUAGUCUGCAUUUCUUUUCUGAUUCGCUCGUUCCUUCGUACUUGUUCGUUAGAAGUGUUAUUUUUUUCCUUUGAGGCAAGAUGGCCUUGCCUGUAUCUGCUAUUGGAUUUGAAGGCUAUGAAAAGAGGCU
rnacentral:misc_RNA from 1 species